UGGUAGCCUUGAUUGCCACUUUUCUGCUGUCAAACUUCUGGACCCAUAGGGAGCCCUGCGGUGCACUGGGUUGUCCACAGAUGGAUCCAUGUGUACAGGGUUGGGCUAGUGCACAGCAGGAUCAGGCUGGUGAGGAAGGUUGGGCAGUGCACCACUGCCAUAAAUUAUAGCUCUAUAUCCCUGUUCUCUUACAAUUAUACUUUUGAUGAUACCUGUGCAGCUUCAUUGCCUUAACAUACCAUACCACAGGCUUAAUUUUUCAGUUUAAAAGUUGCUGACAGUUUAAAAGAUGGAAAAUUAAUGUUUUAUUCUUCUUUUGAGGCUGAGGACCCUACAUAAUUAAGGAGGAAUAAAAAAAUUAAACGUUUUUUGUCACAUAAAUAACCAGAUCUGACUCUGAGUCACACAGAGUAAGUUUCUGUUCUGAAAAGUGACUGUGAAAAUUGUGUGCUGGUUAUUAACAAAUUUCUGAUUUUUAAUUUUUUAAACUUAGAAGAAACUUGAUUUAUAACAUGCAUCUUGCUAGAACAGCUGUCUUUUUGUCUAAAGGAACUUGUUUGAGACAUUAAAGACAAAAUCAGAAACUAAUCUUUUCAUAGGUCCCAUAAAAACAAAAUACUCUAUGUUCCUUGUUACCCUAAAUAUCUUUUUUAGUAACUGCAUUAAGGUAAUCAAAAAUGGUUGUAUGCAGACAAAAAAAGUGUUGAUAUAAUUCAAUACAGUGAAUGUUAAAGCUGCUGCAUUGUUCAAAAUAACCCAGCCUUCAUAUCCAUCCAAUGCAACAAACAAAAGGCAAGAGAGGAAAAGAAAAUCAAUAGUUUCUAAGUGGGAAAGGAUAAAAGCAAUAGAUAGGAUUAUUUUCAAGUUUUUAAGAGGACAUUACAAAUGGGCACAAGACAGGAUACACACUAGCAUGGAGCAUUAGGUUAAUAAUAUUUGACUUAAAUAUUUAGUAAAGAUUAUUGGAGCAUAGGAUACUGAAACUAUAAUACUGAGGCACUGCUAAGAGACUAACACAAACUACAAAACUAAUAAAGAAUAAAAUAUACAUUAUAUAUGUAAAAAUAUAUAACGUUAUAAUUAUGGACUCUAUAUUAGAACAAACAUGCAGCCUAAAUGUCAGGAUGCAUACUGCAAAUCACUCCAUAGAUAUUAACAAGCUGUCUAGCCUUGCCCAGAGAAUAUUUGGUGGAGUUACUGGGUUCCUGCACCUCUCACAUACAGGAGUACAGCAAAGCAAAGUACGGAAUACUAGGUGCAAAUCUCUUGCAUGAUAUCCCCAAAUACUCUGGCCAGUGAACUGUACUAGUUUUAGUGGGCGAGGGUGCUCUAUGUCCUUAAGAAGGGACCAGGAUAUGAUUCCAGGUAAUCAACAAAAAAACCCAAACCAUGAAUAGCAGUGGGUAAACAUUUCCAUCAAACAUUGCUGCGAGAGUUUUCAACCAAACAAAAAGGUUUGUAUAUCUGCUUUUGUCAAAAAAAAAAUUCUAAUUGGAAAAAAAAACAUUUUUGACUGAAGGCCAAAUAUUUUUUCCAUUAUUAGCUUAAAUUUGUCAUUUAUGUGGUUACCCACAAUUGCAAAAUCCCAAGGAAAAAAGUAUAGGUAUUUGACUACUACAUUCUCUGAUGAAACAUUGCUUAGAUUAUUUUUUUUCAAGGUUUUUUUAUUGUCCACUAUGUUUUUACUUAAGAAACGGUGAGAGAGAUUAUAAAUUGAGUAACGUCCAAAAUCAGAUUGCAAAACAAGGAGUAGUGGGUAACACUGGGAAUGUUUUGGCUGAGCAGGGUUGGAUAUUCACAGAUUACUAUGACAGUCUGUAGGGACUCAUUUACCUUUUAUUAAAGUGAAGUAAUGCUAUGAAUUGUAAAUAUAAAUAAAGUCAGCAAGUAUAUUUCCAAUGAAUCACUCUACAGCAGAUGUACCCAUCUGAUACAGAGCACCUCAUGCUUUUUGUCAGUGGAUCAAAAAUGUUUUAAUGUGGAGGUUAAGUAGCAUCCUAUUUUACUUAAAGAAAGACAUGUAAAGAGUUCCCCCCAGCCAUUCUGCCUGAAAAUUCAAUCUGGUAUCUGGAAGUCAAGAUCUGUUUUUAUGCUGGAUGCACCAUUAGCAAGAGAUUGUAUAACUGCUACUUUGUUAAUGUUCUGGAUAUUUAUGUCAAAAUAGAAUCUAGCUUGAUCUUCAGUCACUGCGUUGAGACUACAGGAGUAACAGAUGUGAAAGGCAAUUGUAACUUUUUUUUUCUCUGACAUAAGCAGAUAUGGAUAAACACACAGAUCUUUUGAUGCAUAUUUUCCAUAGCUACUUUUCAGAUCAUAAUAAUACGUCUUUUUGUAGACAUUCUUCAAACAUCAAGGCUUCUCAGUCCAUGUAGGUUUUAGAAUUAAUCAAAAGUGUAGUGAAUGCUUAUUAGAAAUCUCCUGUCCCUAGGAGAUAAGACAAAUGCUUCACAGAUUCUUUGUUGGAUAAAAUUCUCUGAGACAAAUUCCCUGCUGGCCACUGACUUCAGAAGAGUGUCCCUUGCUUACUCUAACAGUGAAGUUGGCCUUAUAAUGUUUGUUUCUAAAAUUAAAUGCAAACUAAUGAUACUUUUAAAAACUAUUCUAAGUGUCAAAGUCAUCUUAAAUGGUGUGUCAGUUUUUCUUUAAAUAUAUUAUGCAUGUUACUUAACCUCAAUGCUACAUGUUGCUGCCUGCCACUCCCACAUGCUUUUUUCUUCUCAUAUUGUGUGUCAGACAUUAAUUUACAUCAUACUCCUGGGAGGCAAGGUGGAUGCUUUAUUUACGUAUUUCCUGUUAAAUUGUAGGAGAAAGGUUGCAGUGAAAUUUUACUGUUUCAGUUUGUCAGGUAUUGAACUGUACUGCAAAUCUGAAAAAUCUUU